GGUAGGGCCUCCGGACCUGGUGGCCGGCCUGGGCUUCAAACCCAGUGAGAGGCGUUGAGAGACGUCUCUGGCGAGUUCGAUUCUCGUGCUCUACCGCCA
rnacentral:tRNA from 3 species